CCGGGACCAUCCGGUAAGGCUAAAUACUCCCGAGAGACCGAUAGCGAACCAGUACUGUGAAGGAAAGGUGAAAAGCACUUCGAAUAGAAGAGUGAAAUAGUCCCUGAAACCGUGCGCCUACAAGCGGUCGGAGCUGCUUCAGCAGUGACGGCGUGCCUUUUGCAUAAUGAACCUACGAGUUACUUUUUCCGGCAAGGUUAAGGAUCUUGAGAUCCGCAGCCGAAGCGAAAGCGAGUCUUAACAGGGCGAUUAGUCGGAAGGAGUAGACGCGAAACCAAGUGAUCUACCCUUGGUCAGGUUGAAGGUUAGGUAACACUAACUGGAGGACCGAACCGAUAAGCGUUGAAAAGCUUCCGGAUGAACUGAGGGUGGGGGUGAAAGGCUAAUCAAACUUGGAGAUAGCUCGUACUCCCCGAAAUGCAUUUAGGUGCAGCCUUGGGAAUUACUACUGUGAGGUAGAGCGACUGAUAAGAUGCGAGGGCUUCACCGCCUAUCAAGUCUUGACAAACUCCGAAUGCGUGUCAGUUCUAUGUCAGGAGUGAGGGCAUGGGUGCUAAGGUCCAUGUCCUAAAGGAGAACAAUCCGGACCAACAGCUAAGGUCCCGAAAUGAAUACUAAGUUGAACUAACGAAGUCAGAUUGCUAAGACAGCUAGGAUGUUGGCUUGGAAGCAGCCAUUCAUUUAAAGAGUGCGUAACAGCUCACUAGUCGAGGAGUUUGGCGUGGAUAAUAAUCGGGCAUUAAGCAAUUUACCGAAGCUAUGGGAUCAGUAAUGAUCGGUAGGGGAGCAUUCCACUCUGCGUCGAAGGUGAAGCGUGAGCUUUGCUGGAGCGUGUGGAAAAGCAAAUGUAGGUAUAAGUAACGAUAAAGGGGGUGAGAAACCCCCUCGCCGAAAGACUAAGGUUUCCUGAUCAACGCUAAUCGGAUCAGGGUUAGUCGGGUCCUAAGGCUCAGCCGAACGGUGAGGCCGAUGGCAGAACAGGUUAAUAUUCCUGUACUACCUUAAGGAGUGACGUGGAGACGGAGGCGUGAUAGCGCCGCGGACUGACGGAAUAGUCCGUUGAAGGGUGUAGAUGUUGAUCUUUGCAGGCAAAUCCACAAAGAGAGUCGAACCUGAUAGUAUACCAAAUUCUUCGGAAUAAGGUAAUAGUGCGUGUAAACAUACUCCCAAGAAAAUCCGCUAAACUUAAUCUUUAAGGUACCCGUACCGCAAACGGACACACGUAGUCGGGUUGAAUAUACUAAGGCGCUUGAGUGAUUCACGGUUAAGGAACUAGGCAAAUUGACCCUGUAACUUCGGGAUAAAGGGUCCCAACGAGAGUUGGGCGCAGAGAAUAGGUCCAGGCAACUGUUUAACAAAAACACAGGGCUGUGCUAAAUUGAAAGAUUACGUAUACAGCCUGACACCUGCCCGGUGCUGGAAGGUUAAGAGGAGAUGUCAUCGCAAGAGAAGCAUUGAAUUGAAGCCCCAGUAAACGGCGGCCGUAACUAUAACGGUCCUAAGGUAGCGAAAUUCCUUGUCGGGUAAGUUCCGACCUGCACGAAUGGUGUAAUGAUCUGGACACUGUCUCAACCGUGAGCUCGGUGAAAUUGUAGUAUCGGUGAAGAUGCCGAUUACCCGCGAUGGGACGAAAAGACCCCGUGAACCUUUACUAUAGCUUAACAUUGAAUUUGGGUAAUUGAUGUGUAGGAUAGGCCGGAGACUUCGAAGCAGGUACGCCAGUAUUUGUGGAGUCGCUGUUGAAAUACGGCCCUUUGAUUAUUUGAGUUCUAACUCGUAGAUGCGAGGACACUGUUUGGUGGGUAGUUUGACUGGGGUGGUCGCCUCCAAAAGUGUAACGGAGGCUUCUAAAGGUGCCCUCAGGACGAUUGGUAACCGUCCGUAGAGUGUAAUGGCAUAAGGGCGCUUGACUGGGAGACAGACAAGUCGAUCAGGUAGGAAACUAGAGCAUAGUGAUCCGGUGUUUCCGCAUGGAAGGGACAUCGCUCAAAGGAUAAAAGGUACUCCGGGGAUAACAGGCUGAUCCCUCCCAAGAGCUCAUAUCGACGGAGUGGUUUGGCACCUCGAUGUCGGCUCGUCACAUCCUGGGGCUGGAGAAGGUCCCAAGGGUUGGGCUGUUCGCCCAUUAAAGUGGCACGCGAGCUGGGUUCAGAACGUCGUGAGACAGUUCGGUCUCUAUCUAUCGUGGGCGUAUGAAAUUUGCGUGGCUCUGACACUAGUACGAGAGGACCGUGUUGGACUGACCGCUGGUUUACCAGUUGUGCCGCCAGGUGCAUCGCUGGGUAUCUAAGUCGGGAUUGGAUAAGUGCUGAAAGCAUCUAAGUACGAAGCCAGCCACAAGAUUAGAUUUCUUAGGGUCGUUAAAGACGAUGACGUUGAUAGGAUGCAGGUGUAAAGGUGGUAACAUCAAAGCCGAGCAUUACUAAUUGCCCGUUCACUUUCUUUC
rnacentral:rRNA from 1 species